AUUGAACGCUGGCGGCAUGCCUUACACAUGCAAGUCGAACGGUAACAGGUCUUCGGAUGCUGACGAGUGGCGAACGGGUGAGUAAUACAUCGGAACGUGCCCGAGAGUGGGGGAUAACGAGGCGAAAGCUUUGCUAAUACCGCAUACGAUCUCAGGAUGAAAGCAGGGGACCGCAAGGCCUUGCGCUCACGGAGCGGCCGAUGGCAGAUUAGGUAGUUGGGGGGAUAAAAGCUUACCAAGCCGACGAUCUGUAGCUGGUCUGAGAGGACGACCAACCACACUGGGACUGAGACACGGCCCAGACUCCUACGGGAGGCAGCAGUGGGGAAUUUUGGACAAUGGGCGCAAGCCUGAUCCAGCCAUGCCGCGUGCAGGAUGAAGGCCUUCGGGUUGUAAACUGCUUUUGUACGGAACGAAAAGACUCUGGUUAAUACCUGGGGUCCAUGACGGUACCGUAAGAAUAAGCACCGGCUAACUACGUGCCAGCAGCCGCCGCAGUAA
rnacentral:rRNA from 1 species